rnacentral:rRNA from 1 species
GUGCCAGCAGCCGCGGUAAUACGUAGGGCGCAAGCGUUGUCCGGAAUUAUUGGGCGUAAAGAGCUCGUAGGCGGUUUGUCGCGUCUGCUGUGAAAUCUCAAGGCUCAACCUUGGGCUUGCAGUGGGUACGGGCAAUCUAGAGUGCGGUAGGGGAGACUGGAAUUCCUGGUGUAGCGGUGGAAUGCGCAGAUAUCAGGAGGAACACCGAUGGCGAAGGCAGGUCUCUGGGCCGUAACUGACGCUGAGGAGCGAAAGCAUGGGUAGCGAACAGGAUUAGAAACCCGUGUAGUCC